rnacentral:rRNA from 1 species
AGCAGCCGCGGUAAUUCCAGCUCCAAUAGCGUAUAUUAAAGUUGUUGCAGUUAAAAAGCUCGUAGUUGAAUUUCGGGGUUUGUCGGUUGGUCGGGCUUCAUUGUCCGCACUGACCUGAUGGAUUCCUACCUUCUGAAUAACCAGCAUGCUAUUAAGUUAGUGCGUUGGGGAAGCAGAGCUAUUACCUUGAAAAAAUUAGAGUGCUUAAAGCAGGCUUAUGCUUGAAUAGAUUAGCAUGGAAUAAUAAAAUAGGACGGCAUGGUUCUAUUUUGUUGGUUUCUAGGAUCACCGUAAUGAUUAAUAGGGAUAGUUGGGGGCAUUAGUAUUCAAUUGUCAGAGGUGAAAUUCUUGGAUUUAUUGAAGACUAACUUCUGCGAAAGCAUUUGCCAAGGAUGUUUUCAUUAAUCAAGAACGAAAGUUAGGGGAUCGAAGACGAUCAGAUACCGUCGUAGUCUUAACCAUAAACUAUGCCGACUAGGGAUCGGACGAUGUUAAUUUUUUAAUGACUCG